AUUUGGUCAAGCUGCAAAGGGCAAACGGUGGAUGCCUUGGCGCCAGAAGGCGAUGAAGGACGUGGUCAGCUGCGAUAAGCCACGGGGAGCUGCUAAGCGAGCUUUGAUCCGUGGAUCUCCGAAUGGGGAAACCUGGCCGGGGUCAUGCCCGGUCGUCUCUCCGCUGAAUUCAUAGGCGGUGAGAAGCAAACCCGGGGAACUGAAACAUCUCAGUACCCGGAGGAACGAAAAUCAACCGAGACUCCCCCAGUAGCGGCGAGCGAAAGGGGAUCAGCCUAAACCGGCGGGAAGCAAUUCCUUCCGGGGUCGUGGGACUCCGUCAUGGGACUCGGACGGGUAGCAGAAGGAGAUGCGAAAGCUCCGCCAUAGCGGGUGAUAGCCCCGUAUGCGAAACCCCGAAGAGCUCUAGGAGUAUCCCGAGUACCGCGGGGCACGUGUAACCCCGUGGGAAUCUGGGUGGACCAUCAUCCAAGGCUAAGUACUAACUGGCGACCGAUAGUGAACCAGUACCGUGAGGGAAAGGCGAAAAGAACCCCGGUGAGGGGAGUGAAAUAGAACCUGAAACCGUUUGCCUACAUACAGUGGGAGCACGAUGACGUCUUCGGACGUGUAGUGUGACUGCGUACCUUUUGUUUAACGGGUCCGCGAGUUACUCCUCGGCAGCAUGGUUAAGCCGACAGGCGUAGCCGUAGCGAAAGCGAGUCUGAAUAGGGCGCUCGUUGCCGGGGGUAGACCCGAAACCGGGUGAUCUACCCAUGGCCAGGUUGAAGCUCGGGUAAUACCGAGUGGAGGACCGAACCGCAGCAGAUUGAAAACUGCCCGGAUGAGCUGUGGGUAGGGGUGAAAGGCCAAUCAAACUCGGAGAUAGCUGGUUCUCCCCGAAAUAUAUUGAGGUAUAGCCUCACGUGAUCACCACCGGAGGUAGAGCACUGGAUGGGCUAGGGGCCCUACCAGGUUACCGAACCCAACCAAACUCCGAAUACCGGUGAGUGCAGCGUGGGAGUCAGACUGCGGGCGAUAAGGUUCGUAGUCGAAAGGGAAACAGCCCAGACCGCCGGCUAAGGUCCCAAAAUCCGCGCUAAGUGGGAAAGGAAGUGGGAGCGCAUAGACAACCAGGAGGUUGGCUUAGAAGCAGCCAUCCUUUAAAAAGUGCGUAAUAGCUUACUGGUCUAGUGAGCCCGCGCCGAAAAUGUAACGGGGCUCAAGCGCGGUACCGAAGCUGCGGGUUCGAGAUGCCCUCGGGCGUCUCGAGCGGUAGGGGAGCGUUCCAGUUGCCUGUGAAGCCCGAUCGAGAGAACGGGUGGAGGUCCUGGAAGUGCCUAUGCGGACACAAGUAGCGAUAAACAGGGCGAGAAACCCUGUCGCCGUAAGCCCAAGGGUUCCUGAGUAAAGCUAAUCUGCUCAGGGUUAGUCGGUCCCUAAGCCGAGGGCGAACGCCGUAGGCGAUGGGAAACGGGUUAAUAUUCCCGUACCACCAGUCAUCCGUUCGACCGAAGGGGGGACGGAGAAGGGUAGCCGGGCCGGGUGUUGGACAUCCCGGUUCAAGCCCGUAGGCGGGUGGCGUAGGAAAAUCCGCGCCGCCAUUCAACGCCGAGAGGUGACGUCGAGAGCUUCGGCUCACAAAGUCGGUGAUCCCAUGCUUCCAAGAAAAUCCUCGUAGGGAGGAUGUCUGGUGACCGUACCGCAAACCGACUCAGGUGGGCGGGCAGAGCAUGCCAAGGCGCUUGAGACAACUCUGGUCAAGGAACUCGGCAAAUUGACACCGUAACUUCGGGAGAAGGUGUGCCCCGAGCUGUUAGAGGACUUGCUCUUCGAAGCGGCACGGGGUUGCAGAGAGCAGGGGGUAGCGACUGUUUACUAAAAACACAGGACUCUGCGAAGUGGCCAACACGACGUAUAGGGUCUGACGCCUGCCCGGUGCCGGAAGGUUAAGGGAACUCGUCAGCCGCAAGGCAAAGCGAUGAACCGAAGCCCCGGUAAACGGCGGCCGUAACUAUAACGGUCCUAAGGUAGCGAAAUUCCUUGUCGGGUAAGUUCCGACCUGCACGAAUGGCGUAACGACUUCCCCA
rnacentral:rRNA from 1 species